AACAACUGAGGUGCAAUAUACUUCUGGGGAUUAAUGACCAUCUGGGAGGAAUCAGUGGCCCAGGAAAGCCUGCUGGGUGUUAGUGUAUAGGAGAUAUCUUGUACCAUGGUCAUU
rnacentral:miRNA from 1 species